AGCGAACGCUGGCGGCAGGCCUAACACAUGCAAGUCGAACGAACCUUUCGGGGUUAGUGGCGGACGGGUGAGUAACACGUGGGAACGUGCCUUUAGGUUCGGAAUAACUCAGGGAAACUUGUGCUAAUACCGAAUGUGCCCUUCGGGGGAAAGAUUUAUCGCCUUUAGAGCGGCCCGCGUCUGAUUAGCUAGUUGGUUGAGGUAAUGGCUCACCAAGGCGACGAUCAGUAGCUGGUCUGUGAGGAUGAUCAGCCACAUUGGGACUGAGACACGGCCCAAACUCCUACGGGAGGCAGCAGUGGGGAAUCUUGCGCAAUGGGCGAAAGCCUAACGCAGCCAUGCCGCGUGAAUGAUGAAGGUCUUAGGAUUGUAAAAUUCUUUCACCGGAGACGAUAAUGACGGUACCCGGAGAAGAAGCCCCGGCUAACUUCGUG
rnacentral:rRNA from 1 species